rnacentral:rRNA from 1 species
AGUGAACGCUGGCGGUAGGCCUAACACAUGCAAGUCGAACGGCAGCACAGUAAGAGCUUGCUCUUACGGGUGGCGAGUGGCGGACGGGUGAGGAGUACAUCGGAAUCUACUUUUUCGUGGGGGAUAACGUAGGGAAACUUACGCUAAUACCGCAUACGACCUACGGGUGAAAGCAGGGGAUCUUCGGACCUUGCGCGAAUGAAUGAGCCGAUGUCGGAUUAGCUAGUUGGCGGGGUAAAGGCCCACCAAGGCGACGAUCCGUAGCUGGUCUGAGAGAAUGAAGGGGCAGAUGGGGACUGUGAAACGGGCCAAACGCCCGCGGGAGGAAGCAGUAGGGAAUCUUUGGCAAUGGGGGACAGUCUGGACGAGCAACGCGGGGUGAGGGAAGAAGGUGUUCGGAUCGGAAAACUCUGUUGGUAGGGAAGAAAGAUGGGGAGAGUGGAAAGCUCAUCAAGUGACGGUAACUACCCAGAAAGGGACGGCUAACUACGUG